GACAGAGAGUGCAGGCGUUUAUUCGGUUUUAUUGGGUGCAAAGGGUGCGUAGGCGGGUCAUCGAGCAGCAUAGCUGAAAAAGCGGGGGUUGUUCCACGCGACGUGCUGGCUUGCAAUAAAAGUGACUUAGUGUUGAUGAGAGGUUGAAGCAAGCAGGUAGGAAGGGGUGGAAUCCUUAGAUCUACCGUCGAACACCAACAGGCGAAGGCAUUCUUCUGGCAUCAACAGACGCUAAGGUACGAAAGCGACGGGUAGCAAAUGGG
rnacentral:rRNA from 1 species